UGCUCAGAACAGGUGGAACUGUACAUAGUAAAUUCUAGAGAAAAAUUACAUUAUCUCUCUUUUUUUUUGUCUUUCAGGACAUUCAGCUGCAGCAAGCCCAGAUUUCCCAUUGUUUUCGAAAAUAUUCAGCCUUCUAGUAAUACUAAUUUUGUCUAUGAAAUGAACUCAAGCCAAGAAAUAACACAGAGGAUGGAAACACAGACUGCAGUUUUCACUUCUUGUCUUUACUUACUGGCUCAUCUGCUUACAAAGGACAGCAAGUAGUCGAGCAAGAUUUCAUAUAUGUUUUAACAACAAUGUUUUAAAUGCAAUGGUAUUGCAUUAUUAAAAUUACAAAACAUACUAUUUUCAUAUUUCUCACUAUGUUCUGUAACAACAGUUCAAAUGCAUUUAAUUUUUUCUAUAGCUGCCAACUGUCUGUAUUUUAUGAUUGUUACACUCUCAAAAUGAAACAUUUAAUUUGUUAGUAUUUUUUUCAUGUUGCAUGUCUGCAUACUGCAUCUGUCUCCUUGCUGAAGACAUAAAUGAAAUUAUGCACCCUGAAUACUAGGUGAAAGUAUUUACAUUUGUUUCCACUUACACUACCCUGAGCAGUCAUAACUCUUAAUGUUUAUGUCAUAAAAUUUGAGCGCUUUGUGCAGGGGAAUAAUUACUAAGUUUACUUCACUGACUUUGGAAUAAAAAUUUCUUUGGAUAUACAUCAGCGUAAAACCUAAGUAAGAUACUUAUAUCUGUUUGCUUUAGGGAAUCUAGCAAGUGGAAAUGUAGAGAGAAUACAGAGAUGCUACAAGAUAUAAAACCAGAUAAGCAUUAUAUACCUUGUGCAUUUUUCAUUUUUAUGAGUACCUUCUGAAAAAAAUGUUUUCUAAAAAGAAUGUAAAAUGAGUUUCUUAGCCAGCUGCAAAUGAAACUCAGAAAAGCUUUAUCAAAGUCAUUUUAUGUUUGACUUUUCACUGAGGCUGUGUAUUCUGUCAACUUUCUUUUUAUUUUGUUGCUACAUGACAAAUAUUCAGGUUAUGCAUAUAAAAAACUAGCUGUGAUUAUUCAUUAAAUGUGUGUGCAAUAAUCUUUCGCUGGGA